rnacentral:lncRNA from 10 species
GAAAGAAUAUUGAUUGAACAUCUACUCAAGAACUGCAAAACAGAGAUUACCUGACCUAAAGGAGUCCAUUCUCAAUUUUCUGUGCAAAUUGGGGAAGGCUGUUGAUAAUCGGUGGAUGCUAUAGUGCCCAUGGAAAGACUCUAGUCUGAAGAUACCAGUCUCUCCCUCCCAAGAUCACCUCCCCUGACCAACCUUCUGCACUCCUGACAGAUACAAGGGAGCAAGCAAGUUGCACCCAACCUAAUAGUAAAUUGCAGGGACAUUUCCAUUCUAAGGAAGGAAUUUUUGUGUGUGUUGCAACUCAGCUUCUGCUCUGGCAUUUUGCUGUGCAUUUAUAUUGCCAAUCAUGUUGGAGAGUCCAUGUGGUGAUUUCUGAAAACGAGAUGUGAGAAAGAAGAGGAUAAUUUAAGUCUAGACCUACAGAUUGUGCUGAUAAAGUGAUGAAGAACUACAAUCUUCUUAGUCAUUUCAUUGUAUAAGUGCAAUAAAGGAUUUUGUGUCUUUCCUGGCAAACAACUUGUGACCACAGUGAUGGCUCCAGCAGAAUGGAAAAGACCCUUUACCUCACAUCUCAGAAGUAAAGAUGCUGAUUAUUUGACAUCGCCAUUGGAAUCUCAAAACAGUGUAAAGCAUUUGCUAAAAAGAGUCACUUUCUGAGAAAUGACUCAGAAUUCGACUUACGUACUAGCAGAACUUAUUGCCCAUAAAAGGAAAGGCCACACUUUUUGUGAAAACUUAAUAAUCCCUAGGAUGUAAAAUUAUACUGAGUUAAAUCCUAGUCCCAUUUUUAGUACAAGAAACUGGAAAAAAAUAAUCCACUCUCAAAUGGUAAGACAAAUUGAGAUAUUGCUGAAAAGCCUCUUGACCCUGAAAAGUUCUGAAUAAUAAACUGAUAAAAGCAGCAGCAGCAUCUAACUUGACACCAGUCAUGUCAUUUG